rnacentral:lncRNA from 7 species
AGAAUGGCCUCUUGUAUGUGCUGUGUCUGAGCUGGAGGGCAACGUUGGAGUUACACUGACUCUUCAGGCCUAUGAGGUUUGGUGCAACCUGAAGGUGCCAGCUGACAUCUAUAGGCAUCUGUUGGAGCAAGACAGCAUUCUGAUGCUGCAUCCCCAUGAGGGAAGCUAACUGCAGGGGAACAGCAGAGAAAGAAGAGGAAAGGUGCUGUAAAAAAAUAUGUAAAAAACACAUCUUUUUAGUUAAUGACUGUAAUAUUGAGAAAGAAAAAGGGGUUCAAAGGUGUGUGGGGAUUGCUAGGCCACAGCCUGAACCUGAGCACCAGGUGAGAAGUCAUGGCUAACCCAGGGAGCUCAGGUACAAGCAAUGCACCUGAGGCCCUCAAUUAAGGGCUAGCAGCUGAGGGAGCAGAGAUCAUGCUCUUCUCAAGACAUCGCUGGCCUUUUGAAAGGGUGAGUCACCUUCUUCUGUAUCUUUGUAAACUAAACCUUAACUAAUUCCUUUGUGCUCCUGUCCUAGCAGAAGGCAUUAUCAUCACUUUCCAUCGCUCCACAGAAGGAAAAAAAGAAAUAUGAGAAAACAUUGACAAAGCUUGAACAACUGCCUACAGCAUAAUGAUUUUCUGCAUUUUUUUUUGUCAGGUGUUCCUGUGCUUUAUCAGUACUUACGUAGUGAUUCCCUUGAAACCACAUAGAUUAUUAACCUGGUGUUGGGUACAGAAGAGCAAUAACUCAUUUUUUAGCUUUCGGUCUUUAAUUCUAUUUUUUCUUUUCUCAAAAGCUCUGUGUUCAGUCUGUCUCUUGUCACAUGUAGAAAUAAUAAAGCAGAUAUAUGCGUGGGGUAAGGGCUACAAGCUUGGUUUGUAGGUCACCUUCAGUACAGGUGACCUUUAGGCAAAUGACCUACUAGGUUCUUCACAUCUACCACAUCAGCUGAUGGGGAAAGAGCUGUGGACAGCUGGAGCCCAGAGCCCAUGUGACAGCGACCAAAAUGUUCCUCUGCUGAGUGGCUGGCACCCACAGGCCCUGUCCCUUGGACUCGGGCUGAUUCAGCAGCCUACUCAAACAUGGCAGUGAUUGUUCACCCCACAGCCAGUGUCUGUUGCCAGCAGGAUUCUUCAGAAGACACCCAGGACGCUUGGAGGUGACACUCCCUGGCUUCUGGCAGCUUAGAGACUGCUCCCACAGCUUUGCUGCAAACCUUCCACCUCUUCCCAUCUCUAUCUUUCUAAUUCUUAAGUCUCCGUGUUUUCCCUGACGUGGAUGGGUGUGAUGUUUUCAUGUUCUGGCCCUGCUGCUCACAAAGAGGGAACAGACAUCGAAGGUCUCUCUGUGCUGUCUGCCUCUGAAAGGAUUGCUCUCAAAUGGGAAAGAAAAUCAUGUACAAGUGGCAUUUCUUGAAUUGUGGAGCUACUG